UAUGAGAUGUGGUAAUGUUUCCCACCUCAUCGGUAUAGUAGACAUCCUUGGAAUUUCUAGGAAGACUAUAGACGACUCGAUUAAUAGCAGUAGAAACUGGAUUGUAAAAGUUUCCCAUAUACCACUUGGCACGAUCGAAGUUGGACUUCAGCUUGGCAGCAUGGUUUUCAAAAACCACACGCUCCGAGACUUCUAACAUUUUUCGGUAUUCAUGCAUAUCAAUUUGAACAUAGAGAUCAGCUCCGCGAGGAAUAGGUACAGUAUGCUCAUAGCGAACAUAGAUUUCACCUAAAUCAUUGUCCUCCCCGGUGAUAGUCUCACGGCUUUCGUAAACCAAAGUAUUGCCAACACGAUUGGGAAGUUCAGCUCCAUCAAUAUUAUACGUAGUAUAUGUGUCAAUUUUAGCAGAAGGGAGUAUAAGACGAGUGCGUUGAAGAUCAGUAGUGUAGGGACUAUCUAAGUAAAGGGUUGUCAGGUAAACCAAAUAUUGUUCUUCGUCUUGAUCCACAGCUGCUGGUAAAGGACGAACAC